rnacentral:rRNA from 1 species
UACAGAGUGCCCAAGCGUUGUUCGGAUUCAUUGGGCGUAAAGGGUGCGUAGGCGGCGCGGUAAGUCGGGUGUGAAAUCUCGGAGCUUAACUCCGAAACUGCAUUCGAUACUGCCGUGCUUGAGGACUGGAGAGGAGACUGGAAUUUACGGUGUAGCAGUGAAAUGCGUAGAGAUCGUAAGGAAGACCAGUGGCGAAGGCGAGUUUCUGGACAGUUACUGACGCUGAGGCACGAAGGCCAGGGGAGCAAACGGG